GUGCUUGCUUUGGCAGCACAUAUACUAAAAUUGGAACAAUGCAGAGCAUGGCCCUAUGCAAGGAUGACACAUAAAUUCGUGAAGCAUUCCUUUUUUUU
rnacentral:snRNA from 1 species